rnacentral:rRNA from 1 species
AGAGUUUGAUCAUGGCUCAGGAUGAACGCUAGCGGGAGGCUUAACACAUGCAAGUCGAGGGGCAGCACGAGGUAGCAAUACUUUGGUGGCGACCGGCGCACGGGUGAGUAACGCGUAUGCAACCUACCCUGUACUGGGAGAUAACCCGGAGAAAUUCGGACUAAUAUCCCAUAAAGAUAUUUGGAGGCAUCUUUGAAUAUUUAAAGUUCCGACGGUACGGGAUGGGCAUGCGUAAGAUUAGCUAGUUGGCAGGGUAACGGCCUACCAAGGCUCCGAUCUUUAGGGGUCCUGAGAGGGUGAUCCCCCACACUGGUACUGAGAUACGGUCCAGACUCCUACGGGAGGCAGCAG